rnacentral:rRNA from 1 species
AGCCUUAACAGGGCGACUUGAGUCCCGCGCCGCGGACGCGAAGCCGGGUGAGCUAUCCGUGGGCAGGCUGAAGCGGGGGUAAGACCCCGUGGAGGGCCGAACGCACGUCGGUUGAAAACGGCGGCGAUGACCUGCGGAUAGGGGUGAAAGGCCAAUCAAACCCGGAGAUAUCUCGUUCUCCCCGAAAUAGCUUUAGGGCUAGCGUCGCGCGUUCACCGCCGGAGGUAGAGCACCGGAUGGACGAGGGGGCUUCGCCGCCUACCGAAUCCAACCGAACUCCGAAUGCCGGCGGCCCAGAGCGCGGCAGUCAGAGCAUGUGGGCUAAGCUGUGUGCUCGAGAGGGAAACAGCCCGGACCGCCCGCUAAGGUCCCCAAGUUCCAGCCGAGUGGCAAAGGAUGUGCGUCCGCCCAGACAACCAGGAUGUUGGCUUAGAAGCAGCCAUGCAUUCAAAGAGUGCGUAACAGCUCACUGGUCGAGUGGACAUGCGCCGACAAUACACGGGGCUAAGCUGGACACCGAAGCGGCGGGAUUUUGAUUAACAGAAUCGGUAGGGGAGCUUCCCAUGGGCGGGGAAGCCGCCGGGCGACCGGCGGUGGAGCGCAUGGGAGUGAGAAUGCUGGCAUGAGUAGCGAGAGACGAGAGAGUAACUCGUCCGCCGUGAACCCGAGGUUUCCUGGGCAAGGCUAAUCCUCCCAGGGUCAGUCGGGGGCUAAGGCGAGGCCGGGAGGCGUAGCCGACGCGCAGCAGGCAGACAUUCCUGCACCGCGCACGCGGCGCUACGACCGACGGGGCGACGGAUGGGGGUGGCUCGGCGGGGUUCUGGACGUCCCCGUGAUGGAGCGCGGCCCGCGGACCAGGGAAAUCCGGUCCGCACACAGGGCGAGGCUCCGGACGAAGCACUUAAGCGAAGCGAGUGAGCCCGAGGUCCCUAGAAAAACCCCUAGGCAGGCGCGUGCGCGCCCGUACCGCAAACCGACACAGGUGGGUGGGUAGAACAUACCGAGGCGAUCGGGUCAACCAUGGUCAAGGAACUCGGCACAAUGGCCCCGUAACUUCGGGAGAAGGGGUGCCCGCGCGUACGUGAACGGACUUGCUCCGGGAGCGGAGGCGGGCCGCAGUGGAGAGGCCCAAGCGACUGUUUACCAAAAACACAGGACUCUGCAGAAGCCGCAAGGCGACGUAUAGGGUCUGACGCCUGCCCGGUGCCGGAAGGUCACGCGGAGGAGUUAGCGCAUCGCGCGAAGCCCCGAAGCCAAGCCCCGGUAAACGGCGGCCGUAACUAUAACGGUCCUAAGGUAGCGAAAUUCCUUGUCGGGUAAGUUCCGACCUGCACGAAAGGCGCAACGACUUGGGCGCUGUCUCGACCAUGGACCCGGUGAAAUUGCACUGGUCGUGAAGAUGCGACUUACCCGCGGAAGGACGGAAAGACCCCGUGAACCUUCACUGCAGCUUGGCAUUGGCCGCUGGUCCCGCGUGUAGAGGAUAGGCAGGAGGCAUCGAUCCGGAGGCGCCAGCCCCCGGGGAGCCGCCCUUGGAAUACUGCCCUCGCGCGACCGGCGUCCUAACCCGAGGCCGUCACCCGGCUCGGGGACCGUGCCAGGCGGGCAGUUUGACUGGGGCGGUCGCCUCCUAAAGGGUAACGGAGGCGCGCGAAGGUCCGCUCGGGACGGUCGGCAACCGUCCUUUUGAAUGCAAGAGUACAAGCGGGCUUGACUGCGAGGCCCACGAGCCGAGCAGGUGCGAAAGCAGGCUCUAGUGAUCCGGCGGCCCCGAGUGGGUGGGCCGUCGCUCAACGGAUAAAAGGUACUCCGGGGAUAACAGGCUGAUCUUGCCCAAGAGUCCACAUCGACGGCAAGGUUUGGCACCUCGAUGUCGGCUCAUCGCAUCCUGGGGCUGGAGCAGGUCCCAAGGGUACGGCUGUUCGCCGUUUAAAGCGGUACGCGAGCUGGGUUCAGAACGUCGUGAGACAGUUCGGUCCCUAUCCUCCGUGGGCGCAGGAGAAUCGAUGGAGGCUGCCCCCAGUACGAGAGGACCGGGGUGGACGCACCUCCGGUGAACCGGUUGUCGACCAACGGCACGGCCGGGUAGCCGCGUGCGGCGCGGAUAACCGCUGAAGGCAUCUAAGCGGGAAGCCGUUCCAGGGAUUAGUUCUCCUUCCGGUAAGGGCCCAGGUAGACUACCUGGUCGAUAGACGGCAGGUGCAAGGCUGGCGACAGCCUCAGCCGAGCCGCACUAAUCGCCCGAGCUCUUCCGGA